rnacentral:rRNA from 1 species
AGCAGCCGCGGUAAUUCCAGCUCCAAUAGCGUAUAUUAAAGUUGUUGCAGUUAAAAGCUCGUAGUUGAAUUUCGGGGUCAGCAGGUUGGUCGUGCCACUGGUAUGUACUGGCUUAGCUGAUUCCUCCCUCUUGUAGAACCGUAAUGCCAUUAAUUUGGUGUUGCGGGGAAACAGGACUGUUACUUUGAAAAAUUAGAGUGUUUAAAGCAGGCUAACGCUUGAAUACAUUAGCAUGGAAUAAUGAAAUAGGACGUUCGAUCCUAUUUUGUUGGUUUCUAGGAUUGACGUAAUGAUUAAUAGGGACAGUUGGGGGCAUUAGUAUUCAAUUGUCAGAGGUGAAAUUCUUGGAUUCAUUGAAGACUAACUACUGCGAAAGCAUUUGCCAAGGAUGUUUUCAUUAAUCAAGAACGAAAGUUAGGGGAUCGAAGACGAUCAGAUACCGUCGUAGUCUUAACCAUAAACUAUGCCGACUAGGGAUCGGAUGAUGUUAAUUUUUAAUGACUCAUUCGGCGCCUUACGG